rnacentral:pre_miRNA from 1 species
AGUAAAAUCACUGGGUCAUAUGGUAACUAUGUUUCAAUUUUUUGAGGAAUUGUCAAAUUGUUUUCCAAAGUGGCUGAACCAUUUGACAUUCCUUCCAGAAGU